rnacentral:lncRNA from 1 species
AUAUUGAUUUUGCCCGGCGCCAUCUAUUAAUCACUUACCUUACUAGCUCAGUUAUAAUGUGAAACCUGCAUGAAAUCUCCUAUCUGUGGAGGUGUGAGAAAAAGAUUUCUGAAAUAUCAACUAAACAAACGACACAAAAAUAAAGCUAUGAAAUGGUGGAUAAAUAACAAAAGACUGUCGAAUAUUGUACACAAAUUUGGAAAUAUAUUGAAAAAUAAAGGCUUUGUUAUGCAACAUCAAAAAUACAAGGUUAUCUAGUCGAAAGUCUGAAUAAAGAAAUACGAUGCAAUGAAUUUAACUAUAAAAAAAAAUAAGAGUAUUUGACAAAAAAUUAAGUCGAAGAUAACCCAAAAUUAUCUUGAAUAUUCAAAAUUUGUUAUACUAAAGCUAGAAAAUGAAAAACAUUGACUUUCGAUCAUGAUCAAUUAAAAAUAUAAACUGUUCAGUACAACCUUUCACGAUGUAAUAUGAAGAUAAACCAAACUGCUAUGAAGUCUCUUCGGAUCCAAGAAGAAACCAACUCCUUCUCCUUCACUGGAACAAUGUUCUAAAUAUGGUAGAUACCCGCAUCAGAAUACUUUUUCACUUUUCUUAUAAAGUUGAGGGUCAUUUUUGAAAAUUUUUUCUUCACCAUGAAGAUUAUUUAUACAGAUUGAUGUCUAUUUCAACAUAAUUUCACAAAUCUACACAUGCAGCUAAGUGAUGCAAGACGUAUCACCUUAACGAAGUUCCUUUCGAAGUGACUUUUGGAAACAUGGAACCUUUUGAUGAUUCUUACGAACAAAUAAGGCUAUUGUAUGAUACAAAUAGAAGUAAUUCUCUGGUAAAACUCAAAAUUCAAAUUAUUAUAUGUUCUAGUUACUAAUUUCUAAUUUAUAUGUCAUUGAAAUAUCAUAUUUGAUAUAGGAUUACCUAUUUUGAUUUCUUAUGUAAUUCUACCUUUAUACACUUAAAUAAAACCAUCUUAUAACUAUUUAAUUAUUACUAAGUGCUCUCCUAACUUUAGUUCUUUUUAUAAUUCUCAUUCUUCUCAACCUUCCAAUCAACGAUACCCCUCAAAAGUGGCAAUAAUAAAAAAAUUAUCCAUAUACUUUGGGCUUUAUUAAAAUUACUAAAUUAUCUAUUAUUUUAACUAUUCUAUGGUUUGAGUAUCUUAAAAA